rnacentral:ncRNA from 2 species
ACAUUGACUGCGGGAGAGUCCAACUAAGUUGGCGCCGAAGGAGCAAGGGUCCCCCCGAAACUCUCAGGCAAAAGUACCGCAGGAUAUAG